rnacentral:rRNA from 1 species
GAGUUUGAUCCUGGCUCAGAUUGAACGCUGGCGGAAUGCUUUACACAUGCAAGUCGAACGGCAGCACGGAGAGCUUGCUCUCUGGUGGCGAGUGGCGAACGGGUGAGUAAUAUAUCGGAACGUGUCCAAUAAUGGGGGAUAACGAGUCGAAAGAUUCGCUAAUACCGCAUACGCCCUACGGGGGAAAGCAGGGGAUCGUAAGACCUUGCGUUAAUGGAGCGGCCGAUAUCUGAUUAGCUUGUUGGUGAGGUAAAGGCUCACCAAGGCGACGAUCAGUAGCUGGUUUGAGAGAACGACCAGCCACACUGGAACUGAGACACGGUCCAGACUCCUACGGGAGGCAGCAGUGGGGAAUUUUGGACAAUGGGGGCAACCCUGAUCCAGCCAUUCCGCGUGAGUGAAGAAGGCCUUCGGGUUGUAAAGCUCUUUCGCAAGGGAAGAAAACUUAUGAUCGAAUAAAUCAUGAGGUUGACGGUACCUUGAUAAGAAGCACCGGCUAACUACGUGCCAGCAGCCGCGGUAAUACGUAGGGUGCGAGCGUUAAUCGGAAUUACUGGGCGUAAAGCGUGCGCAGGCGGUUUUGUAAGUCGGAUGUGAAAUCCCCGGGCUCAACCUGGGAACUGCGUUCGAAACUGCAAGGCUAGAGUGUGUCAGAGGGGGGUAGAAUUCCACGUGUAGCAGUGAAAUGCGUAGAGAUGUGGAGGAAUACCAAUGGCGAAGGCAGCCCCCUGGGAUAACACUGACGCUCAUGCACAAAGCGUGGGGAGCAACAGGAUAGAUACCUG